AUGACUGCAGACAGACGUAUGAAUGAGCACAACAAAGGGCAGGGGGAUGGGACACCAUCUGCCUUCUCUUCCACAUUCUCUCUAGGUUAUGCCGACUCUGGUGUGUUCUUACUUGCACGUUUGCGUUCCAGGACUUGCUGCAGUGUAGUCUCCUUUUUUUCUGAAGAAAAGACUGAGGUUCAACGGACUCAGCUCAUUAGAGCCUGGCAAAGAGCAAUGAAAAAUUCUAAGCAGGAACUAAGAAAGAAAGAGGGGACUAUACAGCACAGCUUUCCGGAUACCCAGCCACGCCUCUCUCUGCAUCCCUCCCCAAAGCGUCUCCUCUGCUCCCCCUUCCCUGUUUUCCUUUAACUCAUUUGAGGGAUCGUAAUAAAGACUGUGUGCAGC
rnacentral:lncRNA from 1 species